UUUGUCAUAAAGGGCCAAAAUAGAAAUGUUUAGAAAACCUAGCACCGCUAUCUAUGCGGCGGUGGUGACGGUGCCGGUGCCGAUGUUAGGUAUUUACUAUUUACCUUUCACCGACCACCACCAACAAUAGACAACAGGAAGAUGUUGAUGAAGGUGGUUUGAAUCUGCGAAGCGGUGACAAAGCUCUGUUUGGACCAGAUCGUUUUUUCAACACUGACGACCACACUGUCUCUCGUCGUCAGAGCAAAUGGGUACCCGAAAACCGUUUCUGCAUGUUUCAAAAUGAAGUUUACAGUUACUUUUACCAACUUGAUGUUUCACAAGUUGAUCUUGUUAAAGGAACGAAGAUUGCAGAUUGGUUUGCACACCGUACAAGUGGGGGUUCAAUAUCUUUACGGUUUUGCUACAAAUUCACCAUCUUUCUAGUUCCGCCUUUAUGUUUUGCUGCUUGAAUUUAAGGGAAAUCAAGCAUGGACAUUAAUGCUGGGCUAGGAAGAUGGUCUGAGACAAUUUGAGCAAGAAAAACUUCAACCACUGAAUCCACUACUAUUCCUUUCUAUCACAAAAGAGUGUCUGUCUCUUGAACAAGAUGCAUCCGUGCAAUAAAUGAUUCUGCUUGUCCUUAGGAAAUAGUUCAUUUUCCCACCUUUUGGCAUUGUCUUUAUCUGUUCCAUCAACCCCUUCACUGUUUAUAUCCAACAUCAGAAGCUUCCAAACUUUAUAAGUUUCCUCAUCAAGAUUAACUUUAGCUCAUGUCUGUUUCUUCCAAACUUUAUUCAUGAACUUUGCACUUGUGUUUUUCAUUUUCCCGGUUGUAAGGGACAAGUGCAUUCUGCUCAUACAACACGAGCUUUCUAGCUUCUCUAUAUAUGUUUAGGUGUCUAAAUUGCUGUGUUAAUGUGUCCAUAGUAUGUAUGUUUUUCCACCACUCUCCUCAAGCAACACCUUAUGAGUUGUGAAGGGCAUAUGUUCUUGCAUUUCAUUUAUGCAAGAAUACGCUGAACUGAUUGGAGUACUUCUCUUUUUACUCGUUUCUUUUUUGCAAGUGAUGCACGCAUCUUUGCAACUAAAACAUCAAUGGCUGGUUGUGGUCUUUCUUGAUCCUCAAAUGUUUUAUCAGACUUUCUGGGGAAUUAUUUCACCAUUCUUCAUGUGUGCAUCAAAGAGUGUCAUUUUCAGAAAUUACAUGCAAAUUAUUUCAGAAAAUUAUCGAAGAGUGUCAUUAUCAGACUUGAUGCUAUUUAAAGGAAAUGAUUGAAGCUGGAAACAAGAUGCUUUAUUUGCCAGGAAUAGAGAUUCCUGAUUGAUUUGCACACUGUUCAAGUGGAGGUUCAAUAUUUUUCUGGUUUUUCAACAAAUUCACCAACUUUCCAGUUCUGCGUUCAUGUCCCCUGCAGCUUGACUUUAGGGGAAAUCGAGCAACAAGGGACAUGAAUGCAGAACUGGAAAGAUGGUCUGAGACAUUGAGUGAGAAAAACUCUACCACUGAAUCCACCAUGAUCCUCUCAUCGCGAAAAGCGUCUGUCUCCUUGAUCAAGAUGCAUCCGUGUAAUCAAUGAUUCUGCUCUUCUUUGGAAAACAUUUCAUUCAUUUUCCCACCAUUUGGCCUUGUCUUCAUCUGUUCCAUCAACCCCAUGACUGUUUAUACUUGAAGGGAAUGAUGAUGCCAUAUUCAUGAAUCCAGUUUGCUGAUUGUAAGGGACAAGUGCAUUCUGCCCAUUCAACACUAGCUUUCUAGCUUCUCUAUAUAUGUUUAGGUGUCUUAAUUGGGGUGUUAAUGUGACACAAGAUGUAUGUUUUGCACUUUCUCCAUCACUUUCUGCAACCUGUGCAAAGGAAAUGCUGUUGCCUUACAUUUAUUUAUGCAAGAAUACCUUGAGCUGAUUGAAGUGCAGGUAUUAUUCAUGAGUUCUGGUCUGAGCAUGGCUUUGAGUCUCGCUGUUUCAUAUUCAGAAGCAGAAGUCCAGCUGUUAGAAGUUGAUGCAUCCAAAUGUGAUCUACCAUUUUCAUCGGUACCAUUAAGCAAGUAGACAACAACAACAUUAAUCUAAUUGGGGUGCAAUAUAAUUUAAUGCAGGCAUACUAGUCAAAUUAUUUGGUUUAAUUUCCCCUUUUGAGGUUUUUUUCUUUUGUACAUUUGGAAAUUGAAUCAAAUAAUUUGAUUGGUAUGCCUGCAUUAAAUUGUAUUGUGCCCCAAUUAGAUUAAUGUUGUUGUUGUCUAUUUGCUCAAUGGUACUAUGAAGAGGAUAAGGAGUUUGAAGACAUCAUUCUAGAUACCAAGUGUUGUGGCCUUGUGAUGUUAAUAUAUAGUGACACAAGUAGUUUUCAUUUUUGAGCAUGAUAACAUCAAUCUGAUUGAUUUUUGUUGAUAUUGGAUUGAAUUGUUGUAUGUUUGUGACUAAGUUCAAUGUAUGAAAUGAGUUAUAUUUUUUUUUGGGUACAUGAAAGGAGUUCUGUUUCAGUUCAAUGAAAAUAAUAGAGAUCUGAUAAUUGGUACAUUUCAUACGAA